GACGAACGCUGGCGGCGUGCUUAACACAUGCAAGUCGAACGGAAAGGCCCUGCUUUUGUGGGGUGCUCGAGUGGCGAACGGGUGAGUAACACGUGAGUAACCUGCCCUUGACUUUGGGAUAACUUCAGGAAACUGGGGCUAAUACCGGAUAGGAGCUCCUGCUGCAUGGUGGGGGUUGGAAAGUUUCGGCGGUUGGGGAUGGACUCGCGGCUUAUCAGCUUGUUGGUGGGGUAGUGGCUUACCAAGGCUUUGACGGGUAGCCGGCCUGAGAGGGUGACCGGCCACAUGGGGACGGAGAUACGGCCCAGACUCCUACGGGAGGCAGCAGUGGGGAAUAUUGCACAAGGGGCGGAAGCCGGAUGCAGCAACGCCGCGUGCGGGAUGACGGCCUUCGGGUUGUAAACCGCUUUCGCCUGUGACGAAGCGUGAGUGAGGGUAAUGGGUAAAGAAGCACCGGCUAACUACGU
rnacentral:rRNA from 1 species